rnacentral:rRNA from 1 species
GCCAGACUCCUACGGGAGGCAGCAGUGAGGAAUAUUGGUCAAUGGGCGCGAGUCUGAACCGGCCAAGUCGCGUGAAGGAUGACUGCCCUACGGGUUGUAAACUUCUUUUAUAAAGGAAUAAAGUGAGACACGUGUGCCUUUUUGUAUGUACUUUAUGAAUAAGGAUCGGCUAACUCCGUGCCAGCAGCCGCGGUAAUACGGAGGAUGCGAGCGUUAUCCGGAUUUAUUGGGUUUAAAGGGUGCGCAGGCGGAAUGUCAAGUCAGGGGUAAAAUUGCGGGGCUCAACCCCGUCGUGCCGUUGAAACUGGCGUUCUUGAGUGAGCGAGAAGUAUGCGGAAUGCGUGGUGUAGCGGUGAAAUGCAUAGAUAUCACGCAGAACCCCGAUUGCGAAGGCAGCAUGCCGGCUUCCGACUGACGCUGAAGCACGAAAGCGUGGGGAUCGAACAGGAUUAGAUACCCGCGUAAA